UACGUAGGGGGCAAGCGUUGUCCGGAAUCAUUGGGCGUAAAGAGCGCGUAGGCGGUCCGUUAAGUCGGUUGUGAAAACUGGGGGCUCAACCCUCAGAGGCCGACCGAUACUGUCGGGCUAGAGUCCGGAAGAGGCGAGUGGAAUUCCUGGUGUAGCGGUGAAAUGCGCAGAUAUCAGGAGGAACACCAAUGGCGAAGGCAGCUCGCUGGGACGGUACUGACGCUGAGGCGCGAAAGCGUGGGGAGCAAACAGG
rnacentral:rRNA from 1 species